rnacentral:rRNA from 1 species
AUGCAUGUGUAAGUUCAGCUAUUUUAUAGUGAAACCGCGGACGGCUCAUUAAAUCAGUUAUAGUUUGUUUGAUAAGGAUAUAUAUGGAUAACUACAGUAACUCUGUAGCCAAUACAUGCGAAAAUCCUUGCUUUCAAUGCAGGGAUACAUUUUUAUGUGAGAUGGAUCUUCCUGUUACUGGGGAGUUUAUUGUGAGUAUAUGUAAUUGAUUCACCUAUCUUUGCCAACGAGCAAUAGGGGGUUUAAUAAAGUUUCUGCCCCAUCAACUUUCGACGGUAGUGUAUUGGACUACGGUGGUUGUAACGGGUAACGGGGAAUCAGGGUUCGAUUCCGGAGAGGGAGCUUGAGAGAUGGCUACCACAUCUAAGGAAGGCAGCAGGCGCGUAAAUUACCCAAUUUUGGAAUGAAGAGGUAGUGACAAAAAAUAACGAUACAGUACAUUAUGUAUUGUGAUUGGAAUGGAAUGAAUGUAAAACAUUCUUUGAGGAGCUAGUGGAGGGCAAGUCUGGUGCCAGCAGCCGCGGUAAUACCAGCCUUCACAAGCAUAUACAAAUGUUGUUGCGUUUAAAAAGCUCGUAGUUGAAUUUGUUGUGAUCCGUCCUACACACUCGCAGUUGCGGGGUAGGAUUGACACCAUCAUGUUGUCGAGUUUGCUUGCGCUUAGUUGUGUUGAGUAAACGAGAUAAAUGAUUUACUUUGAGAAAAUUUGAGUGUUUAAAGCAGCCUUUGGGCAUGAAUGCUGUAGCAUGGAAUAAUAGAAAAUGACUGCGUACUCGUUUUGUCGGUCUUGAGAUAUGUAGUAAUGAUUAAAAAGGACAGGCGGGGACAUUCGAAUUGUUGCGUUAGAGGUGAAAUUCUUGGAUCGCAGCAAGACGAACUAAUGCGAAAGCAUUUGUCAAGAAUGUUUUUGUUAAUCAAGAACGAUAGUCAGAGUAUUGAAGAGGAUUAGAUACCCUCGUAAUUCUAACUGUAAACGAUACAUGCUUGAGAUCCGUCAUGUUUGAGUAGACUUGACGGGAAGUUAUCCGGAAAACCAAAGCUAAUAUGUUACGGGGGAAGUAUGGUUGCAAAAUCGAAACUUAAAGGAAUUGACGGAAGGGCACCACCAGGAGUGGAGCUUGCGGCUUAAUUUGACUCAACACGGGAAAACUCACCAGGACCAGACAUGGUAAGGAUUCACAUGUAAUUUUUUUCUGAUGAUUUCAUGGGUGGUGGUGCAUGGCCGUUCCUAGUUAGUGGAGUGAUCUGUCUGGUUGAUUCCGAUAACGAACGAGAUUUUAUCCUUCUUAAUAGACUGCACGAUUUUUCGUGUAAUCUUCUUAGAGGAACUAUGGGGAAUAUCUACCGUAAGGAAGUUGGGUCAUAACAGGUCUGUGAUGCCCUUAGAUGUUCUGGGCUGCACGCGUGCUACACUGAUAUUGCCAAUAUGUCAUUCUUAUCCGAAAUGGAUUGGGUAAUCAAGUAAUGAAAUUUCAUGCUUGGAAUCGGUAAUUGCAAUUUUAUCGUGAACGAGGAAUUCCUAGUAAGCACUAGUCAUCAGCUAAUGUUGAUUAUGUCCCUGCCCUUUGUACACACCGCCCGUCGCUACUACUGAUUGGGUGUUCAAGUGAGAUGCUUAGACCCUUGUUGCAUGGUUCAUUAUUGUGCUCCGAAAGGAAAAAGUUUCAAGCUUGAGUGUCUA